GUUUCGUACACGUCCCGUUUUGGUAAACUUUAGAAUGCAAACAACAACAAAGCCUUAUCCGACUAAGUGGGUUCAACUGUAUGAAUCCGAGAAUGCCAUUGUACUCAGUUUGCCGCUAGUCUUCCGUUAGCUCCAUGUGCUCCACGUUUUUUUAAAGUCUCUUUCCAAGUCUUCAUAGUUCUUCCUCUACCCCUUUUGCCCUAAACCCUUGAAUCAUAAUCACAUUUUCUAACCGAAUAAUGAUUGUCUAUCUUUAUGAAUAACAAAUAUUGAGUUCUACUAAGAUAUUAGCUAGCUAAUAUUACUUUUGGCUUUGGAAAGCUGUUAUUCUGUUUUUUUCAUGGCAUCCUAAUUAUUUGAAACUAAAAAAAUUAUUUAGAGAUAGCAAAAAUGGAAAUUUGUGGCUACAAACAUGUGAUCAAGGAGUUACCACAAACUUGCAACUGCAAAAAAAGGGGUUGGGUAGAAAGAUAAAAGUGGUAACACCUCCUUCCACCAUCUCACCUUUCUCUCCUUUGCAAGAAGCCAGACAACAUUUUUGCUGUGGCGAUUGGGGACGAACUUCGGCAAUUUCCAAGUAUUCUCCAG